GAGUAAAGCGGGGGAUCUCGGACCUCGCGCCAUUGGAGCGGCCCGUGUCCGAUUAGUUUGACGGCGGGGUAACAGCCCACCGUGGCUACAAUCGGUAGCUGGUCUGAGAGGAUGAUCAGCCACACCGGGACUGAGACACGGCCCGGACUCCUACGGGAGGCAGCAGUGGGGAAUAUUGGACAAUGGGGGCAACCCUGAUCCAGCGAUGCCGCGUGUGUGAAGAAGGCCUUCGGGUUGUAAAGCACUUUCGCGGGGGAAGAAACUUCGCGCUCUAACAUAGCGCGGCACUGACGGUACCCCGAGAAGAAGCGCCGGCUAACUCCGUGCCAGCAGCCGCGGUAAUACGGAGGGCGCAAGCGUUAAUCGGAAUGACUGGGCGUAAAGCGUGCGCAGGCGGCCGCGGAAGUCGGAUGUGAAAGCCCCGGGCUCAACCCGGGAACUGCGUUCGAAACUCCGCGGCUCGAGUCCGGCAGAGGAAGGUGGAAUUCCGCGUGUAGCGGUGAAAUGCGUAGAGAUGCGGAAGAACACUAAUGGCGAAGGCAUCCUUCUGGGCCGGCACUGACGCUGAGGCACGAAAGCGUGGGUAGCAAACAGGAUUAGAUACCCUGGUAG
rnacentral:rRNA from 1 species